CUUGUUUACCUUGAAAAGGAGAAAACGAUACUCACCGGUGGUUGCGCAUUUGUCUAUAACUUGACAAAUCCGGCCCGGGAGAAAGAACUUCUUGCAUGAUCUCAAGUCAUUGAAGUCGAGAUUCAAGAUCAGACGGUUCCAAUGUUUUGAUACGUAUCUGAAGCGCGAUAAAGAUUGUACGUACGGGUAGACAAUACAAACUGCUUUCUUUUGUGUCAGUGAAACCAAUAAGUUGUUGAAGACGAACAUCUGCGCGCCAGGCAUGAACUAAACCCUGAUCAGAGGUUCGCAUACGACGCCAUAAUCAGGUACAUUGAUGGUAAUAUUCCAGAAGUGUUUUUCAUAGAUGGCCCGGGCGGAACAGGGAAAACCUUUUUGUAUAAUGCUCUGCUUGCUGAGGUUCGUUCCCGUGGAUAGACGUUAGAACAAAUCAAAUACACAUCUGCCUAUACACAAUCAACUAUAGAAAACAAGGCUACCUGAGAUUUA